rnacentral:lncRNA from 1 species
CAAGCUUACUGUCAGCCGUCCCUGGAAGCAAGGGCCAGGUCAGGUCAGACAGGAGGCCGCCUGGCUGGCGGGAACCACUCCCCAGACAGAGACUGUGCCCAGUCCUGGGUCCCUCCUCAUUUGGGAUGAACUGGGCCUCCCUGUGCCAGCCUCGGUGCUGCCCCUGCCCAGUGCAGGCUUGGGCUCCUCACUCAUUUGUCCACGCGGAUGCCCCAUUCCAAGCAGAUGUCCCCGAGCCACUUACCCAACAGGCAGACGUGCCAGCACUGUUCGUGGUGUGCAACUGGUCUGGCGGGAAGAGCCCCUCGUGGGCAGAGGGUCCAGAGAGGUGCGGUUUGCCCCACAUUUGGGGGCACUGGGCCACAGUGGGCAGGGGAGCACAUGGCCAGUGCCCUGGGCUAGGAGAGGGAUAAAGUCAGCUGUGGCCAAGC